rnacentral:rRNA from 1 species
GAUGAACGCUAGCGGCAGGCUUAACACAUGCAAGUCGAGGGGUAGAAGUUGCUUGCAACUUUGAGACCGGCGCACGGGUGCGUAACGCGUAUGCAAUCUACCUUAUACAGAGGGAUAGCCCAGAGAAAUUUGGAUUAAUACCUCAUAGUAUAAUUGAAUGGCAUCAUUUAAUUAUUAAAGUUCCAACGGUAUAAGAUGAGCAUGCGUCCUAUUAGCUAGAUGGUAAGGUAACGGCUUACCAUGGCAACGAUAGGUAGGGGUCCUGAGAGGGAGAUCCCCCACACUGGUACUGAGACACGGACCAGACUCCUACGGGAGGCAGCAGUGAGGAAUAUUGGACAAUGGGCGCAAGCCUGAUCCAGCCAUGCCGCGUGCAGGAAGAAGCAUCUAUGGUGUGUAAACUGCUUUUGUACGGGAAGAAACACUCCCUCGUGAGGGAGCUUGACGGUACCGUAAGAAUAAGGAUCGGCUAACUCCGUGCCAGCAGCCGCGGUAAGAC